rnacentral:rRNA from 1 species
AGUGAACGCUGGCGGUAGGCCUAACACAUGCGAGUCGAACGGCAGCACAGUAAGAGCUUGCUCUUACGGGUGGCGAGUGGCGGACGGGUGAGGAAUACAUCGGAAUCUACUUUUUCGUGGGGGAUAACGUAGGGACACUUACGCUAAUACCGCAUACGAUCUACGGGUGAAAGCAGGGGAUCUUCGGACCUUGCGUGAUUGAAUGAGCCGAUGUCGGAUUAGCUAGUUGGCGAGGUAAAGGCCCACCAAGGCGACGAUCCGUAGCUGGUCUGAGAGGAUGAUCAGCCACACUGGAACUGAGACACGGUCCAGACUCCUACGGGAGGCAGCAGUGGGGAAUAUUGGACAAUGGGCGCAAGCCUGAUCCAGCCAUACCGCGUGAGUGAAGAAGGCCUUCGGGUUGUAAAGCCCUUUUGUUGGGAAAGAAAAGCAGCAGGUUAAUACCCCGCUGUUCUGACGGUACCCAAAGAAUAAGCACCGGCUAACUUCGUG